rnacentral:rRNA from 1 species
CCUACGGGGGGCUGCAGUGGGGAAUAUUGGACAAUGGGCGAAAGCCUGAUCCAGCCAUGCCGCGUGUGUGAAGAAGGCCUUCGGGUUGUAAAGCACUUUCAGUGGGGAAGAAAGCCUUGGGGCUAAUACCCUCGAGGAAGGACAUCACCCACAGAAGAAGCACCUGCUAACUCCGUGCCAGCAGCCGCGGUAAUACGGAGGGUGCGAGCGUUAUUCGGAAUUACUGGGCGUAAAGCGCGCGUAGGCGGUCUGAUAAGCCGGUUGUGAAAGCCCCGGGCUCAACCUGGGAACGGCAUCCGGAACUGUCAGGCUAGAGUGCAGGAGAGGAAGGUAGAAUUCCCGGUGUAGCGGUGAAAUGCGUAGGGAUCGGGAGGAAUACCAGUGGCGAAGGCGGCCUUCUGGACUGACACUGACGCUGAGGUGCGAAAGCGUGGGUAGCAAACAGGAUUAGAUACCCCAGUAGUC